UGGUCAUAUAUCUAGUGACAAAGUACCGCGGAUACUUUUAAGAUGACCCAAUAUAUUGGGCAACCUCUUUUUGAGAAUGGGGGGGGGGGGGUGUGCUAAGAUAGUGAGAUAGAAAAUCGACUUCUCGCUUCUACAAUUCGUGUAUUUUGCGCAUGCGGGUAUGCACGCGGACUCAUGGCACAUAUUGUAGAGUAGUUUUAUAUAGGUCAAACAAACUCAACUUCACUAUUGAACACGUCGGACACAAUAAACGUGAUAAAGUAUGAUAAAAUAGGUUGGGAACACGCGCAUGCGCAUUGCGAAAGUACACGAAUUGUGGAAGUGAGAAGCGAUCGUCUGCACUGUGAUGUUUUCGGCAGCUCUUAAUUGCCGUUAGCAAGUAGUAUUACAUAAUAUGGCUGUGGCAGCAAAAAUGUCACGUGACGCAAAUUUUUCAUAAUUCUUUCGCUGCAUUUGCUGCGUAUAAAAAGGAAUGACAACAAUAGCAUACGUAUUAAAGUUCAAUCUCAAAUACGUCUUUUAUUUGCUCAGUUUGAAAAUUAAUAUGGAAAAAGAUAAAAACUUAUGAUUAUAUGGCAACUGUUAGUGUAGUUACAAUUUGGACAACUAUCAUACCAGAUAAUUAUUUAGAAUUUAGAAUAUUACUUGAAAUUUUAAUAAAAAUGUACUCAUUGUAUGUACUCAUUGUAAAUGUACUCAAUUUUCACAUUUUUUGCAAAUAUUGCAGAUUUUCUCAACUUCGAAUUCUUUGCUGCUCAUUAUUGUUUGUUUGGUUUAACUUCAAAUGCGGCAAAAUGUAUUUUUCGUUGAAAGUACGCCAUUUCAUACAAAAUUUUUAACCGAAUUGCUGCACGCAUUGUCACUCUCUCGUCUAGCCAUGUAAGGUACUACUUUGUAUAAUAAUGAGAUACACUGAAGAUGACUCGAAUGUAAGAAAUGUCUGAUUUCAUCGAUUUCAAUAAAUCUCUUUCUCGCAUGA